AGGGUGUGAGUAUUACAUCAGGUACUGGUGUCUUUUUUUCAGCGACCAGUACUUGUGUUAUACUUGCGUUCG
rnacentral:pre_miRNA from 12 species